rnacentral:antisense_RNA from 1 species
CCUUUUGGCGGACGGUGCGGGGGAUCGCAUGAUCCGCCGGUUAAACCCGCUUGGUAUGACGCCGGUAUGCCAACCCGCACCGUCCGCCACCCCG